UUCAUCUGCAAAACCAGUAGUAGUUUACAGAUAACCAAGCACUGUCUUCCACACUAAAACCCCUUUUAGUUUUGAAGGUAUUAGAGUAGAACCUAAAAAGAUGCAGUCAAUGAGUCAAUGAUGGAAGCAGCAGCCGAUGCGGGGAAGGCCUCCAUACAGGACAAGGUGAAGAAGAGGCAGAAGAGCAGAGAACCUACUGAGAAAGAGAUGCGGAGAGAGAGGAAAGAAGAGGCUCUCAAUCAAAAGGCAAUUGCUUGGCAAGCGGGUUUUGCUGCAGGUGGUCUCGACGGAGGCGACGUCAACCGUGACAAGACUGGGUGUCAAUAGAUCUUGAGGAUUUGAUGAGUGAAUCAAUAUCCAAAACUCAACUUUCGACUUAGCAAACUUAAGCAUUUUGUUAUGUUAUUAGUAGAUAGCAUUUACCUAUGGUUGAGUUAGAAUUUUAAGCUCAGAGUGUUAUUUGAUAUAUAUGAUGAAAUGGUUAUAUUUUGGGUGUAACCAAAUAUGUUGAUGAUAAGUAUCUAGGAACAUUUACUGAAUAA